rnacentral:rRNA from 1 species
GUAACGGCGAGUGAAGAGGGAAAAGCUCAGCUUCGAAAUCCACGGCCUUGCGCUGUCGGGAACUGUGUUGUAUAGGAAGCCUACUUGUCGGCCUGUUCGGGUACCCAAGUCCUCCUGAUCGUGGCCUCUCCCAUAGCGGGUGUCAGGCCCAUAAAGGCACCCGACUGCGUCGGCUUGGAGCUUCCUCGGAGUCGGGUUGUUUGGGAAUGCAGCCCAGAGUGGGUGGUAAACUCCAUCUAAUG